CCAGCCCUUACCAUUUGGCCUGAUAGAUAUUACUCAGACCAAAAGGAAGGGAUUGCU
rnacentral:pre_miRNA from 1 species